UGUUCCAAUUCAGGAUGCACCCUCCAAAGACCGCAUUCAAAGGCCGAUUGGGUCACCACGGCGCCACAAAUGCUGCCGUAAUUCGACUUCAAAUGCUCCCUCCGUUUCCCAGGAAAAUGAAGUGUACAUCUGCUGGACACUUUGCACCCUACCAUAUCCCAGAAUUACUUGCGCGCAAAUGACGAUGGAAUUUAUAUUCAAAGAACAUGGAGGAUGAGAGUUCUCUGGUGGAAUUCACAUUGAAAUGGCUAUUCUGGAGAAAAUGAGCCUACUGGGGAAAGACUUAAAAAAUACAAAGAUUGCAAUUGUCCUGGGACAGGUGAGGGAGUGAGUGGAAGCUGAUGAGCUGGUGGAGCUAAUCAGGGAGGACAUCAAAUUCCAGAGAGAGAGACAGAGGAGAGAAGAGCACAGGAGAGAAUGAAGUGACUGUUUUCUUUUCUAGAGAGAAUGGUUAACAAAUAAAUUAUUAUCCAUUCUCUGUUAGGCAAGAGAAAACAGUGGGGAAAAAAUGCAACAGCAGUUUUAACAUUGAGUGACAUGACAUCUGACGUACAGAUGCCAUUGGCACAUGCCACUAUGCUCAGUGACACUUCCGGUUUUCAGUGGCAUGUGCCAGUAGAG